GCGGGUCCCUCCUCUGCCCUCCCUGAUUGCAUCAUUAGUGCUAAUUGAGGGGCUUUCACACGUCAGUGCUUUAGCUGUUUGGAGUGAGCUCCCCCCCUCCUGGGAGAGAUAAGUCGCUGCCCCUCCCCCCUCACCGGUCUCCGCUUCCCCACCGCCCCGACUCCGUUCCCUUACCGCUCUGGCACCCUCCUUUCUCCCGCUUCCCAGGGUCUCUACUGGGAAGGAACGGGGAUUCUGGAAAGAGCAGUUGCCAUUCCGAGACAGGCUCUGUCCCCCUUCCAACCAUUUCUCUGUAAAUAUUGGCACCUUCUCGGCCAAACAUCUCAAUGCACCGGGAAGCCACUGUGGAGGGACUCCUUGAGGAGCUUUCUUUAGGGCCUGCCCUGCUUUUCUGUCUUGGAGAAGUCUCUGUGGGCAGGGCUUGGCAUUGUGAGUCUCAGCUCAGAGCUGGUGAAUAGAACGAGCAGAAUCAUUUCAAAGAAUUGGAAGGCAUGAAAUGCUGUGCUAUGCCACUGCAGACUCCCAUUGUACAUCUGUCCAUCCACCCAAAGGCCAGGCAGGGUCUACAACUAAGACCUUGCAGGCCAGAGUCUGCUCCAAAUCGGUGGUGCUAUCUUCCGUGGUGCUAACACCUUCAGUCCAGGCCUCUUCUCCAAGGCUCCCAGCAGCCCUCAGACCAGUGUCUUGAGCUUGUACAAUAAGACUCAGUGCUUUGGACCCAGGAUGUUUCUUCCUCUCACCAUCUUUCCAGUGUCAUCCACCCCAUCCAAAACACUGACUUGGAUACCAAGGCCUGGGAAAGAGGCAGAUGGCCCAGACUCCAAAAUGCCUCUUUUCUUUGGAAGUAUCUCCUAGGUACCUUCUUGUCACAUGUGGUCAAGUUGUCCCAGCGCCUGGAUUAUAAUACAGUACAGUGUCAACCUUCUGGCAGUCUUCUGUAUUGAAACCCUUUUUCUUCUAGCCUGGGUCUCUUUUGGAGUAUUACUUUCCUGCUCAAAAACCUGGAGGAUAAACUGAACGGGCCCUCAGGCCUCUGAGCUGACCCUAGCCCUCUACCCAGCCCUUUACUCCCUUUAUUAUUCCCCCGGAGAAAGUCAAACUCCCUGGCCUGGCACCUCUCCUACUCCUGACGGCUGCCUUUAUUUACCCUUUGCCAUCAAUGCUGUCUCUUCCAGUUUCUCCUUCUUGAAAUGCCCUCUUCCAGCCUUUACGCUCCAUCUUCAAGGUCUCCUGGAAAGUAGUGAGAGAUGAUGCUUCUCUAACUGGGGUACCCAGGUCUGGGGUCUAGAGGGUGUAUUCUUGGCAUUAGGAAAUGUACAGAAUACAUUUGUCAGGUCUUAGAAAACUUGUGUAAAGAGCUUGGUACUUGGAAUCAGAGAUUCAGUCUCAGUUGGAUUCCCUUGGGCGAGUCAGUC
rnacentral:lncRNA from 1 species